UACAGAGGGGGCAAGCGUUAUUCGGAAUUAUUGGGCGUAAAGGGCGCGUAGGCGGCUUUGCAAGUGACGGGUGAAAUCCCUCGGCUUAACCGAGGAACUGCCUGUGAGACUGCAUUGCUUGAGUCCGGGAGAGGUGAGUGGAAUUCCCAGUGUAGCGGUGAAAUGCGUAGAUAUUGGGAGGAACACCAGUGGCGAAGGCGGCUCACUGGACCGGAACUGACGCUGAGGCGCGAAAGCGUGGGGAGCAAACAGG
rnacentral:rRNA from 1 species